rnacentral:tRNA from 1 species
UAGAUUGAAGCCAGUUGAUUAAGGUGUUUAGCUGUUAACUAAUUCAUUGAAGGAUAAAAGCCUUCCAAUCUAG